GAUGAACGCUGGCGGCGUGCCUAAUACAUGCAAGUCGAGCGAACAGACGAGGAGCUUGCUCCUCUGACGUUAGCGGCGGACGGGUGAGUAACACGUGGAUAACCUACCUAUAAGACUGGGAUAACUUCGGGAAACCGGAGCUAAUAACGGAUAAUAUAUUGAACCGCAUGGUUCAAUAGUGAAAGACGGGUUUCCUGUUACUUAUAGCUGGAUCCGCGUCGCAUUAGCUAGUUGGUAAGGUAACGGCUUACCAAGGCAACGAUGCGUAGCCGACCUGAGAGGGUGAUCGGCCACACUGGAACUGAGACACGGUCCAGACUCCUACGGGAGGCAGCAGUAGGGAAUCUUCCGCAAUGGGCGAAAGCCUGACGGAGCAACGCCGCGUGAGUGAUGAAGGUCUUCGGAUCGUAAAACUCUGUUAUUAGGGAAGAACAAAUGUGUAAGUAACUAUGCACGUCUUGACGGUACCUAAUCAGAAAGCCACGGCUAACUACGUG
rnacentral:rRNA from 1 species